rnacentral:rRNA from 1 species
GGCGGCAUGCCUUACACAUGCAAGUCGAACGGCAGCACGGGGGCAACCCUGGUGGCGAGUGGCGAACGGGUGAGUAAUACAUCGGAACGUGUCCUGCAGUGGGGGAUAGCCCGGCGAAAGCCGGAUUAAUACCGCAUACGAUCUACGGAAGAAAGCGGGGGAUCCUUCGGGACCUCGCGCUAUAGGGGCGGCCGAUGGCAGAUUAGCUAGUUGGUGGGGUAAAGGCCUACCAAGGCGACGAUCUGUAGCUGGUCUGAGAGGACGACCAGCCACACUGGGACUGAGACACGGCCCAGACUCCUACGGGAGGCAGCAGUGGGGAAUUUUGGACAAUGGGGGAAACCCUGAUCCAGCAAUGCCGCGUGUGUGAAGAAGGCCUUCGGGUUGUAAAGCACCUUUGUCCGGAAAGAAAACUUCUGCCCUAAUACGGUGGGAGGAUGACGGUACCGGAAGAAUAAGCACCGGCUAACUACGUGCCAGCAGCCGCGGUAAUACGUAGGGUGCGAGCGUUAAUCGGAAUUACUGGGCGU